rnacentral:rRNA from 1 species
CAGCAGCCGCGGGAAUACGUAGGUGGCAAGCGUUGUCCGGAAUUAUUGGGCGUAAAGGGCUCGCAGGCGGUUUCUUAAGUCUGAUGUGAAAGCCCCCGGCUCAACCGGGGAGGGUCAUUGGAAACUGGGAAACUUGAGUGCAGAAGAGGAGAGUGGAAUUCCACGUGUAGCGGUGAAAUGCGUAGAGAUGUGGAGGAACACCAGUGGCGAAGGCGAUUCUCUGGUCUGUAACUGACGCUGAGGGGCGAAAGCGUGGGGAGCAAACAGGAUUAGAUACCCGAGUAGUCCCUGUCUCUUAUAC